UUCGUGGGCCGGCUGUCGGCCCACCGUGCAUUUUGGGGCAUUCCCUUUCGCUGUGCCCACUCUAUCUGACUUCCCGUGCUCGGUGCUCCUCACCGCCGUUCGGCGCACGGACGCCGUCGGCCAUUGGGCAUGCCGCUGACCUCCAGCGGCGCGCACUCGGCCUCCACCUCCACCAGCGGUGGAACCGCUCUGGCUCACCUGGUUUACCGACGAUGCCGAACAGGGGAAGGAAAGCGCCUCCCAAUGCCACGCGCGGUUCCGAUCUGCUGGUACAUGCUGCUGCAAAAGGGCUAUCUAAAGCAUGAUUGUUCUUUCCUCCGCCUCUGGUCUUUCCUACCAUUUUUUUUUUAAGGUCCUUUCCUUUCCUACCAUAUGGUACCCAAGAUUAUAGAUUAUGCUACUGUCCAAAUGCUGAAUCCAGUACUCGCUCAUUUGCCUACUUUGCUUCAUUGUCCAUAAUUUUUACUCAUCA